rnacentral:rRNA from 1 species
UACGUAGGGGGCAAGCGUUGUCCGGAAUCAUUGGGCGUAAAGCGCGCGUAGGCGGCCCGGUAAGUCCGCUGUAAAAGUCCAGGGCUCAACCCUGGAAAGCCGGUGGAUACUGUCGGGCUAGAGUACGGAAGAGGCAAGUGGAAUUCCUGGUGUAGCGGUGAAAUGCGCAGAUAUCAGGAGGAACACCAAUUGCGAAGGCAGCUCGCUGGGACGUUACUGACGCUGAGACGCGAAAGCGUGGGGAGCAAACAGG